rnacentral:rRNA from 1 species
UGCAAGUCGAGCGGACCGACGGGAGCUUGCUCCCUUAGGUCAGCGGCGGACGGGUGAGUAACACGUGGGUAACCUGCCUGUAAGACUGGGAUAACUCCGGGAAACCGGGGCUAAUACCGGAUGCUUGAUUGAACCGCAUGGUUCAAUCAUAAAAGGUGGCUUUUAGCUACCACUUGCAGAUGGACCCGCGGCGCAUUAGCUAGUUGGUGAGGUAACGGCUCACCAAGGCGACGAUGCGUAGCCGACCUGAGAGGGUGAUCGGCCACACUGGGACUGAGACACGGCCCAGACUCCUACGGGAGGCAGCAGUAGGGAAUCUUCCGCAAUGGACGAAAGUCUGACGGAGCAACGCCGCGUGAGUGAUGAAGGUUUUCGGAUCGUAAAACUCUGUUGUUAGGGAAGAACAAGUACCGUUCGAAUAGGGCGGCACCUUGACGGUACCUAACCAGAAAGCCACGGCUAACUACGUGCCAGCAGCCGCGGUAAUACGUAGGUGGCAAGCGUUGUCCGGAAUUAUUGGGCGUAAAGCGCGCGCAGGCGGUUUCUUAAGUCUGAUGUGAAAGCCCCCGGCUCAACCGGGGAGGGUCAUUGGAAACUGGGGAACUUGAGUGCAGAAGAGGAGAGUGGAAUUCCACGUGUAGCGGUGAAAUGCGUAGAGAUGUGGAGGAACACCAGUGGCGAAGGCGACUCUCUGGUCUGUAACUGACGCUGAGGCGCGAAAGCGUGGGGAGCGAACAGGAUUAGAUACCCUGGUAGUCCACGCCGUAAACGAUGAGUGCUAAGUGUUAGAGGGUUUCCGCCCUUUAGUGCUGCAGCAAACGCAUUAAGCACUCCGCCUGGGGAGUACGGUCGCAAGACUGAAACUCAAAGGAAUUGACGGGGGCCCGCACAAGCGGUGGAGCAUGUGGUUUAAUUCGAAGCAACGCGAAGAACCUUACCAGGUCUUGACAUCCUCUGACAACCCUAGAGAUAGGGCUUCCCCUUCGGGGGCAGAGUGACAGGUGGUGCAUGGUUGUCGUCAGCUCGUGUCGUGAGAUGUUGGGUUAAGUCCCGCAACGAGCGCAACCCUUGAUCUUAGUUGCCAGCAUUCAGUUGGGCACUCUAAGGUGACUGCCGGUGACAACCCGGAGGAAGGUGGGGAUGACGUCAAAUCAUCAUGCCCCUU